rnacentral:rRNA from 1 species
GACGAACGCUGGCGGCGUGCCUAAUACAUGCAAGUCGAGCGCAGGAAACUGACGGAACUCUUCGGAGGGAAGGCAGUGGAAUGAGCGGCGGACGGGUGAGUAACACGUAAGGAACCUGCCUCAAGGAUUGGGAUAACUCCGAGAAAUCGGAGCUAAUACCGGAUAGUUCAACGGACCGCAUGGUCCGCUGAUGAAAGGCGCUUCGGCGUCACCUUGAGAUGGCCUUGCGGUGCAUUAGCUAGUUGGUGGGGUAACGGCCCACCAAGGCGACGAUGCAUAGCCGGCCUGAGAGGGUGAUCGGCCAAACUGGGACUGAGACACGGCCCAGACUCCUACGGGAGGCAGCAGUAGGGAAUCUUCCACAAUAGACGAAAGUCUGAUGGAGCAACGCCGCGUGAGUGAUGAAGGUUUUCGGAUCGUAAAACUCUGUUGUAAGGGAAGAACACGUACGAGAGGAAAUGCUCGUACCUUGACGGUACCUUACGAGAAAGCCACGGCUAACUACGUGCCAGCAGCCGCCGUAAUAC